AUGAACACGAAGCCCCUGCACCGAGGUACUAUGCACUUUUCAUUCCAACACCCUCUGCCCACACCCGCAGCAUUCCUGCUGUGCCCCACACGCUGCACAGCUCGCGCGAUGCCUCGCGUCCUCGCCGCCGCCUCGUUCCUCUUCAAGGGCAUUCGCGCCUCUCCUCUCCGCUCGCGGUGGGUAGCCCCAGGACGCCGCUACUCACGUGAACUCGGCAGCCGCAGAAGCUCAGCAGGUCCCGGCGAGCGGCAGUCGGGUCUCCAUCUCUGUUCUCCCAAGCGCUCCGGCUGCGCGCUCCGCCCGGCGCUGGACGAGAAACUGAAAAACAUGAAGAUUACAAUGAUACUCUAUUUUCAUUCAGCAUUUAUUGGUGGGCAAUGAAGAUAGAAGAUAAAUAAUGUGAAGCCUGCCCUCAAAAAUCCCUAGAAGCAGAUAACAUCAUGGAAAAGGUGAAUUUAAUGCUGAAGAAUAAGUGGUAAACUACAGAUAUGAACAGAUUUUGAUAGGACCCCUUUGGAAGGAGUGUCACUGAUAUAUCUUUCUUUAGUAUGCCCAGAAAUUUCCUACAUAUAGUAAAAAUAUUCCACUGAAUUGCAUGUUUCUGCUUAGUUCAGUGGUGUGUCAUAUAAAAUUCUAUAACUUUAUAUUUCAUGGCAUGGUGUAUUUAAAUAUUUCAGUGAAAAUCUAGAGCAGCCUUUGAAAAUCUGACUUUUCGUUCUUGAAAUUCCAUGUAACAGUUGGGUUAAGCAUUUCUGUCCUUUCUGUUGUUAUUGUAGAAAGGGAGUUUCUUCUAUGAAGCAUUUUUGAAAUGCAAAAACAUUAUUUAUAAAUUCAUAAUUCUUUAACUUCAACAAACUGUUCUUGAGUACCCACUAAAGUUAGUCAGUUCAGUCACUCAGUCAUGUCUGACUCUGUGUGACCCCACGGACUUCAGCACGCACAUUUCUAUGAUGGCUAUUCUUACUAAUGUGAGGUAAUAACUCUUUUAGUUUUGAUUUGCAAUACUGUAAUAAUUAGAAAUGUUAAACUUUUUUUCAUGUGUUUCUUGGCCAUUUCAUUGUCUUUGAAAUGUUUGUUUAGGUCUUCUGCCCAUUUCUUCAUUGGACUGUUUGNNNNNNNNNNNNNNNNNNNNNNNNNNNNNNNNNNNNNNNNNNNNNNNNNNNNNNNNNNNNNNNNNNNNNNNNNNNNNNNNNNNNNNNNNNNNNNNNNNNUUUAUUGUUUGUAGACAUUUUUGUAGAUAACCAUUCUGACUGGACUGGAGUGAGGUUAUUUUUAUAUACCUCAUUGUAGUUUUAAUUUGCAUUUCUCUAGUAACUAGUGAUGUUGAGCAUUUUUCCAUGUGUCUGUUUGUGAUCUGUAUAGCUUCUUUGGAGAAAUGUCUAUUUAAAUCUUCUGCCUAUUUUUUUGAAUGGGCUUUUGAUACUGAGUUACAUAAGCUGUUUGUGUGUUUGUAUAUUUUGGAAAUUGUUGGUCUCAUCAUUUGCCAGUAUCUUCUCCCAUUUGGUACAUUGUCUUUUCAUUUUGUUUAUGGUUUCUUUUACUGUGUAAAAAUUUUUAAGUUUAGGUCCUAUUUAGCUUUUUGUUUGUUUUAAUUUCCAUUACUCUAGCAGACAGAUCCAAAAUUAUUGCUGCAAUUUAUGUCAGAGUCUUCUGCCUAUGUUUCCCUCUAGGAAACUGGUCUUCUUCUGAUAUCUGGCCUUACAUUUAGAUCUUUAAUCAAUUUUGAGUUUUAUAUUGUAUAUCCAGCAGUAUAUGCUGUUAGAGAAUGUUCUAAUUUCAUUCUUUACAUGUAGCUACCCAGUUUUCCCAGCACCACUUAUUGAAGAGACUGUCUUUUCUCCAUCAUGUAUUCUUGCUUCCUUUGUUGUAGAUCAAUUGACCAUAGGUACAUGGGUUUAUUUCUGGGCUUUCUGUCCUGUUCCAUUAAUCUGUAUGUCUAUUUUUGUGUGAGUACCAUACUGUUUUAAUAACUGUAGCUUUGUUGUAUUGUCUUAAAUCAGGGAUUCUGAUUAUUCCAGUUCUGUUUUUCUUUCU
rnacentral:lncRNA from 1 species